rnacentral:rRNA from 1 species
GUGGGGAAUUUUGGACAAUGGGCGCAAGCCUGAUCCAGCAAUGCCGCGUGCAGGAAGAAGGCCUUCGGGUUGUAAACUGCUUUUGUACGGAACGAAACGGUCCGGGUUAAUACCCUGGGCUAAUGACGGUACCGUAAGAAUAAGCACCGGCUAACUACGUGCCAGCAGCCGCGGUAAUACGUAGGGUGCGAGCGUUAAUCGGAAUUACUGGGCGUAAAGCGUGCGCAGGCGGUGCUGUAAGACAGGCGUGAAAUCCCCGGGCUCAACCGGGGAAUUGCGCUUGUGACUGCAGUGCUGGAGUACGGCAGAGGGGGAUGGAAUUCCGCGUGUAGCAGUGAAAUGCGUAGAUAUGCGGAGGAACACCGAUGGCGAAGGCAGUCCCCUGGGCCUGUACUGACGCUCAUGCACGAAAGCGUGGGGAGCAAACAGGAUUAGAUACCCCGGUAGUCC